AUUGAACGCUGGCGGCAGGCCUAAUACAUGUAAGUCGAACGAGUGGCGGACGGGUGAGCAAUGUCUGGGCAACUGCCUGAUGGAGGGGGAUAACUACUGGAAACGGUAGCUAAUACCGCAUACCAUCAGAUGUGCCCAGACGGGAUUAGCUAGCUGGUGGGGUAAAGGCUCACCAAGGCGACGAUCCCUAGCUGGUCUGAGAGGAUGACCGGCCACACUGGGACUGAGACACGGUCCAGACUCCUACGGGAGGCAGCAGUGGGGAAUAUUGCGCAAUGGGCGCAAGCCUGAUGCAGCCAUGCCGCGUGUGUGAAGAAGGCCUUCGGGUUGUAAAGUACUUUCAGCGAGGAGGCGUUACCCGCAGAAGAAGCACCGGCUAACUCCGUGCCAGCAGCCGCGGUAAUUC
rnacentral:rRNA from 1 species